UACAAACUUACUUCGCUGUACUCGCUGUACGUGUUGUCGAUUGAUUCAAUGAUGCGAUUGGGUAGUGAACUAUGGACUUCUGAGUCUGGAAUGGUUAAUCUCUUCUUCACAUUCAGUUCACAUCAAUAUUUGUCAAACGGUUGUUUGGCUUUUUAUGUAACCGUAAAUAUUUCUUAAAGAUAGCUCCAUUCUUAUCGUAAAUAUUUCAGUGCAAACAACCUUUGCAACAAGUUUGCCGUGUUAAAAAAAAAAUUUAAAGACUUAUCUCUGAAAACUGUGUCCAGAAAUGCAGGCGUUCCCACUAAUGUAGCUUCAAAAAUAAUGUGUUCUAUUUACCUGACAUGAAAUCCGUAUCUUUUGGAAGGGUAUACUUAUGACAGCACUCAAAUGUAUUCUGUGCUGUAAAGAAAAUCCACCAAAAUGAAGCAGAUCGCACAGAAAACAAAACACAAUUAUCGAAUCUACUCUUAUCAUGAACAUUUACACAAAACAAAAUGCAUAUUGUAAUAUUAAGUACAUGACACUUGCAUGUUGACAUGCCUAUAUACUUACAAAGUAUUCAAUGUGUACUGAGUGGCGCUUCAAAUAUGUCAUGUACAACACUCCUAAACAUGCCUACAGGGUUCCCACCUCACUCCACCCUUUCAGUAAAGUCUCCUCAGAAAAAGAUGUCUGAUAAAUAUGAAAAUAAUAAAAUUUGAAUUUUAGUUAUCUGCUGGACAUUACUGAACUUUUUCUUCAUUUACUGUAUUUUAGGCUUAAACUCAGACAUUGGAAAUAAACUUUCUUUUCUCUAGUGAAAAAUUACAAAAGGUGUUGUGAAGCACAUUCUGUUAUGCCAAACACAUUAUUUUGAAUACCUUUUCUCAAUUGCAUUUUAUAUCCAUCUAUUUGAAGUUUUCUCAAUGACAUACAAUUUUCUUGUAAAUUUCUAGAGGGAACUUUUUUUUAAAUAAAUGAGAGCUACUAAAAAUGUUAUCUUUCUGAUAUAACAUUUAAUCAUUACUCCUUGAAAUGUAUGAACCUUGUAAUAUGCUGACUAAGGGUUAAAAAAGUGUCGCUGACGAAAAGAAUUUUGCUUGAGAUUGCCAACAUUCAAAAUUUUGUAAAAGUAAUUUGACAUCCACUUAUUUGUGUUUACUAAUGUUGACUAGGAACAGAAGCAAAAAUAUCUAAAACAAGCUUCAUUUUUAUUUCUAUACUCUAACCGAUAUAUUCCAACUACCUAAGAUAAUGCAAUUAACCAUAUAUACACCCCAAGCUUAUAACAAUAAGAAUUUGAGAUAAGCUUUUAAAUUUAUGGAAGAUUUUCUUUGUGUCUUUGGAAGUUCACUUAUCAUGAGAUAUUUUGUAGUCUACUUUAAAUAACAGAUUUUGUUAUACAGGGUAAGCCAAAGGCUGUACAAGAAUUAGUGCCAUUGGGUCUGAUAUUUGUGUUGGACCAUGAAAUAUUCCAUUAAAAUUUGUCUGUAAAUACAAGGCAA
rnacentral:lncRNA from 1 species